AAAUCAUUCUUAUCUUCCUUCUCUUUUCAGUUCUGGGUCUAUAGCACACCACUGAUGCUGAUGUCAGAAACAACCUUGUCCCUUCCAUCACAGCAAAGGGACGCUGCUGCCUUGCUCUGUGGAUCCAGCUGAGAUUAGGAACCUUGUGAAAGAGAAACACAGGUGAAUUGUUUGGAUCCCUGGGAGAAUCGGGUUCCAAAGUAUUUCCAUCCC
rnacentral:lncRNA from 1 species